rnacentral:lncRNA from 1 species
CGGAGCCUGUUUUUCGAGGUCUCUUCAGUUGGUUUCGCCCCCUGGCGGCCACAGUUGGGUUUCUGGUCAGGAUACAGGAAUACAGGUGGCGAGCUGUCCUGGAGAGGACACCAGGGAGACUGGGACCAGGGAGGCCCAAAUGCGCCUGAAAUAGCGAAGGCUUGCAGCUAGAAUCAAGGCCGGGAAUUCUGAAGGACUGGGGAUGGUGUGAGUUCAUGAUCUCUCCCCAUAGACAGGUGUUGUCCUCAUCUGGGCAUCCUGGGUGCAGGAUUUGUGGAGUGCUUCCCUGCAGCACAAGGAUUAUCUGGCCAGAAGUGUCCAUCCAUUUUCAGCACUGAAAAAGAUUGGCGGAAGAAGGCAGGGUCUGGCUUGGAACAGGAGGCAAUGUCAUGAAUUGUGAAGCACUUUGCAUGGGAGCAGUCAAUGAUCUGUCCCCAAAGACAGGUGGUGUCUUCAUCUGCACAUCCUGUGUGCAAGCAUUGCAGAGCUCUGGACUCUGCAGCUGACAGAUUGUCUGGCUUGGAGGUGUCAAUCCCAGGGAUAUCUCCAUUUCCACUACUUAAAAAGAGUGAAGGAAGAAGACAGUGUCUGGUCACUCUGAUUCCAUCUUCACCAAAAGUUCCCAGGACUUCUUCAAACAUCAGUUCAACAGUGUCUAGGUCUUCAGCUCCCUGCCUUCAAUCCUGCCACUGGGACCUGUUUGAUUUCUCCCUAUGUGAAGAGGAGCCCCAUCUGGCCUUAUUUUGUGGUACUGUAUCUACUACUGUUGCAUUAUCUUAUGCCUCUUCCCUACCCUCUAUC